AGAGUUUGAUCAUGGCUCAGAUUGAACGCUGGCGGCAUGCCUUACACAUGCAAGUCGAACGGUAACAGGUUAAGCUGACGAGUGGCGAACGGGUGAGUAAUGUAUCGGAACGUGCCCAGUCGUGGGGGAUAACUACUCGAAAGAGUGGCUAAUACCGCAUACGACCUGAGGGUGAAAGCGGGGGACCGUAAGGCCUCGCGCGAUUGGAGCGGCCGAUAUCAGAUUAGCUAGUUGGUGGGGUAAAAGCCCACCAAGGCGACGAUCUGUAGCUGGUCUGAGAGGACGACCAGCCACACUGGGACUGAGACACGGCCCAGACUCCUACGGGAGGCAGCAGUGGGGAAUUUUGGACAAUGGACGCAAGUCUGAUCCAGCCAUGCCGCGUGCGGGAAGAAGGCCUUCGGGUUGUAAACCGCUUUUGUCAGGGAAGAAACGAGUUUCUCUAAUACAGAGACUUAAUGACGGUACCUGAAGAAUAAGCACCGGCUAACUACGUGCCAGCAGCCGCGGUAAUACGUAGGGUGCAAGCGUUAAUCGGAAUUACUGGGCGUAAAGCGUGCGCAGGCGGUUAUGCAAGACAGAGGUGAAAUCCCCGGGCUCAACCUGGGAACUGCCUUUGUGACUGCAUAGCUAGAGUACGGCAGAGGGGGAUGGAAUUCCGCGUGUAGCAGUGAAAUGCGUAGAUAUGCGGAGGAACACCGAUGGCGAAGGCAAUCCCCUGGGCCUGUACUGACGCUCAUGCACGAAAGCGCGGGGAGCAAACAGGAUUAGAUACCCUGGUAGUCCACGCCCUAAACGAUGUCAACUGGUUGUUGGGAGGGUUUCUUCUCAGUAACGUAGCUAACGCGUGAAGUUGACCGCCUGGGG
rnacentral:rRNA from 1 species